GAUCUGACUUGCUGCCAGCUGUGCAAACCAAUGUUCUGCUCCAAUCAUACAGGCUCCCCGGACCCCAUAGAGCGCCCACAGGACACCACGGGGGACAGGGUCCAAUGCCUUCUCCAAAUCCACUAAACCCACAUGGACUGGAUGAGCGAACUUCCACAUGCCCUCCAGCACCUUAAAGAGGGAGUAGAGCUGCUCCACUGUUCCACGACCAGGACAAAAACCGGAAUCUGAGUCACUGCUAUCUGCUUAUCUCUGAUGGAAGCUGUCAAAGUAUCCCAUUAUGCUGUCUACUUAUGGACUGGGAGAUUGAUGUGUGUUUGGGUUCCUCGACUUGCUAUUCUGCUGAGAAGUACUGUCCUUCACCGGUCAGGAGUAUUCCAGCCCCUCCUCUUCAGCCUGGAGGAAUCCCCUGCUGACUCUGUGACGUCUUCAGUCCUGUGCUGCACCGGGCCAGAAUAUUCUCCAGCCUCUAUGUCAAGAAACACCCGACGAGAUCAUCUUGCGUCUUGGAUCUGAAAUCCAGAUUAAUAUUGAUUCUUUGCUUCUCUGUACACCUGGCGGCAACCAACUUCCUCCCAAACUCACAAUAAACACUAACCUCAACCUG